GAAUCUUCCGCAAUGGACGAAAGUCUGACGGAGCAACGCCGCGUGGGUGAUGAAGGUCUUCGGAUCGUAAAACCCUGUUGUUAGGGAAGAAUAAGUAUCGGAGUAAUAUACCGGUACCUUGACGGUACCUUACCAGAAAGCCCCGGCUAACUACGUGCCAGCAGCCGCGGUAAUACGUAGGGGGCAAGCGUUGUCCGGAAUUAUUGGGCGUAAAGGGCGCGCAGGCGGUUUUUUAAGUCUGAUGUGAAAUCUCGCAGCUUAACUGCGAGCGGUCAUUGGAAACUGGAAAGCUUGAGUACAGAAGAGGAGAGUGGAAUUCCACGUGUAGCGGUGAAAUGCGUAGAGAUGUGGAGGAACACCAGUGGCGAAGGCGACUCUCUGGUCUGUAACUGACGCUGAGGCGCGAAAGCGUGGGUAGCGAACA
rnacentral:rRNA from 1 species